rnacentral:rRNA from 1 species
AGCGAACGCUGGCGGCAGGCCUAACACAUGCAAGUCGAACGGGCACCUUCGGGUGUCAGUGGCAGACGGGUGAGUAACACGUGGGAACGUGCCCUUUGGUUCGGAACAACUCCGGGAAACUGGAGCUAAUACCGGAUAAGCCCUUCGGGGAAGAUUAUCGCCAAAGGAUCGGCCCGCGUCUGAUUAGCUUGUUGGUGAGGUAAUGGCUCACCAAGGCGACGAUCAGUAGCUGGUCUGAGAGGAUGAUCAGCCACACUGGGACUGAGACACGGCCCAGACUCCUACGGGAGGCAGCAGUGGGGAAUAUUGGACAAUGGGCGCAAGCCUGAUCCAGCCAUGCCGCGUGGAUGAUGAAGGCC